UUUUUUCAAAGCUUAUUUCUUACAAGAACAUAUUGAUUGCAAUAAGUGAUGUUUGUCUCUAUUUAAUCGACUUUUACUUUGAUAGGAAUUUAACAUUAAAGAUUCCGAAGUCGGUUCCAUAUACCCCAUGCGGUACUACUUGGACUAUCCUGAUAACGUUAAAUUGCUGGAGGAUUAUACAUCACAGGCACUUGAGAAGUACAACAAAGA
rnacentral:lncRNA from 1 species